rnacentral:rRNA from 1 species
CACGCCCUAAACUAUGCAUACUAGGUAUUGGCAGUAUCGACCCUGUCAGUGCCGUUUAAAAAAGCUAACGCGUUAAGUAUGCCGCCUGGGGAGUACGGUCGCAAGACUAAAACUCAAAGGAAUAGACGGGGACCCGCACAAGCAGUGGAACAUGUGGUUUAAUUCGAUGGUAAACGGGGAACCUUACCUGGGCUCAACUACUAGCUGCAAUCUCGCAGAAACGCGGGAUGCCUUCGAGGGUGCUAGAUAGGUGC